rnacentral:tRNA from 1 species
UGGGGUAUGGCAUAGCGGUUGUGCACCGGCCUUUUAAGCCGGCUUAGGUGGGUUCAACUCCCACUGCCCCAACCA